rnacentral:rRNA from 1 species
UACGAAGGGUGCAAGCGUUAAUCGAAAUUACUGGGCGUAAAGCGUGCGUAGGUGGUUCGUUAAGUCCGUUGUGAAAGCCCCGAGCUCAACUUGGGAAUUGCAGUGGAUACUGGCGAGCUAGAGUGCGGUAGAGGAAGGUGGAAUUCCCGGUGUAGCGGUGAAAUGCGUAGAGAUCGGGAGGAACACCAGUGGCGAAGGCGGCCUUCUGGACCAGCACUGACACUCAAGCACGAAAGCGUGGGGAGCAAACAGG